AUGGGGAAGGUGUGUGGCAUGCUGCCGGACAAAUACAGCAAGCAGUGCGAUGACUUCCUGCAGAAGCAUGGCAAGCAAGUGAUCGACUUCCUGUUGUCCGAUGCUGCGCCCCACACCAUCUGCGUGCUGUUGCACCUGUGCCUGUUAGACGAUACGCCAUCUAGAGAGUACUCCCUGGCCUCAGACUGCACCUCCUGUCUCACACUCUCGGCCUUAACACGGUUCCACCUCGGACGGAACGCCACGGAGACGCAGGUCGCCUCCCUACUGCAAAGUGUCUGCCAGAGGCACCCCAACUCCGUUCCUCAGUGUGAGCUCUUUACCCAGCUCUAUGGGCCAAGACUCCUGAGCAUUUUGGGGAAACAAGAUGGUGGCCGGGACACUUGUGAGAAAGAGGACUUCUGCCGAGGCCAGUGGAGGGAAAGUGUUCACUAG
rnacentral:lncRNA from 1 species